rnacentral:rRNA from 1 species
GACGAACGCUGGCGGCGUGCUUAACACAUGCAAGUCGAACGGUGAAGCGCCUUCCUUUUUGGUGGGUGUGGAUGAGUGGCGAACGGGUGAGUAACACGUGAGUAACCUGCCCCCUUCUUCUGGAUAACCGCAUGAAAGUGUGGCUAAUACGGGAUAUUCUGGGUCUGUCGCAUGAUGGGUCUGGGAAAGAUAUUGUUUCGGUGGGGGAUGGGCUCGCGGCCUAUCAGCUUGUUGGUGGGGUGAUGGCCUACCAAGGCGGUGACGGGUAGCCGGCCUGAGAGGGUGGACGGUCAAAGGGGGAGUGGGACACGGGCCAGGCUCCUAAGGGGGGCGGCGGGGGGGAAUAUGGACAAAGGGGGGAAAGCCGGAGGGAGGGGGGCCGGGGGAGGGAGGGGGGCCUUGGGGUUGGGAACCUUUUUCGCGGGGGAAGGAGGCCUGCCUCUUUGGGGGGGGGGUUGAGGGUAGCGGGAAAAGAAGCGCCGGUAAACUACGG